AUUGAACGCUGGCGGCAGGCCUAACACAUGCAAGUCGAGCGGAUGAUGGGUGCUUGCACUCCGAUUCAGCGGCGGACGGGUGAGUAAUGCCUAGGAAUCUGCCCGAUAGUGGGGGACAACGUUUCGAAAGGAACGCUAAUACCGCAUACGUCCUACGGGAGAAAGUGGGGGAUCUUCGGACCUCACGCUAUCGGAUGAGCCUAGGUCGGAUUAGCUAGUUGGUGAGGUAAUGGCUCACCAAGGCGACGAUCCGUAACUGGUCUGAGAGGAUGAUCAGUCACACUGGAACUGAGACACGGUCCAGACUCCUACGGGAGGCAGCAGGGGGGAAUAUUGGACAAUGGGCGAAAGCCUGAUCCAGCCAUGCCGCGUGUGUGAAGAAGGUCUUCGGAUUGUAAAGCACUUUAAGUUGGGAGGAAGGGCUGUCGGCUAAUACCCUGCAGUUUUGACGUUACCAACAGAAUAAGCACCGGCUAACUUCGUGCCAGCCGCCGCCGUAAAAC
rnacentral:rRNA from 1 species